ncrna:unclassified sequences Mu-gpT-DE RNA
CCCUGACAGGUGCAUGAAGCAUCUGACUUAACCCAAGACAGGAGAUAAUCAUG